GACGAACGCUGGCGGCGUGCUUAACACAUGCAAGUCGAACGCUGAAGCUCAGCUUUUGUUGGGUGGAUGAGUGGCGAACGGGUGAGUAACACGUGAGUAACCUGCCUCCUUCUUUGGGAUAACGCCCGGAAACGGGUGCUAAUACUGGAUAUUCACUGGUCUUCGCAUGGGGGUUGGUGGAAAGGGUUUUUCUGGUGGGGGGUGGGCUCGCGGCCUAUCAGCUUGUUGGUGGGGUGAUGGCCUACCAAGGCUUUGACGGGUAGCCGGCGUGAGAGGGUGACCGGUCACAGUGGGACUGGGAUACGGCCCAGACUACUACGGGAGGCAGCAGUGGGGAAUAUUGCACAAUGGGCGCAAGCCUGAUGCAGCGACGCCGCGUGAGGGAUGGAGGCCUUCGGGUUGUGAACCUCUUUCGCUCAUGGUCAAGCCGCAACAAUGGUUGUGGUGAGGGUAGUGGGUAAAGAAGCGCCGGCUAACUACGUG
rnacentral:rRNA from 1 species